UACGUAGGGUCCAAGCGUUGUCCGGAUUUAUUGGGCGUAAAGAGCUCGUAGGCGGUUCCGUAAGUCGGAUGUGAAAACUCGGGGCUCAACCCCGAGACGCCAUCCGAUACUGCGGUGACUUGAGUCUGGUAGGGGAACACGGAAUUCCUGGUGUAGCGGUGAAAUGCGCAGAUAUCAGGAGGAACACCGAUGGCGAAGGCGGGUCUCUGGGCCGUAACUGACGCUGAGGAGCGAAAGCGUGGGGAGCGAACAGG
rnacentral:rRNA from 1 species